AUGGAUCGAGGCGUAGCUUGCUUGCGAGGGCAUAUUCGCAUGAGGUUUGGCGUCAGGGCGAGCCGUGUCCUGCUCGCCCGCACUCCAUCCAUGGAUGCAGUAGAGGCUCACUACCGCGGUCCAGUCCUGCAGGCCACUGCGGUAGGUGACGAGGAGGAGGCUGUGACGCCGGCUGCUCUGCUGGCCGCCAUCGAGGAGCGCUGCGGCGUGUUGCCAGCGGAGGUGAGCAUCGAGGUUGCGUGCCCCCCGCAUGACAUGUGGUUGCUUUUCUCAACGAAGGAGAAGUGCACGAUGGUGCUCCAACCAUCGAUGAAGCUCAAGUGCUGUCGCUGGUGGAUUCAGUUUGAGCGGUGGGUGAGAGAGAUCCGUGGCACACCGGGUGCCCUGGAGUACAAGUCCAAGCUAAGUUUCGAAGGCCUCCCUGAUCAAGCAUGGUCGAGGCAUUCAGUGGAAGGAGUGCUGGAGGACUUGGGCGGCGAGAUGAUAGAGAUUAUACCGCCGAAGAACCGACGUGAGCUCGAGGUAAUGGCGGCUCCGUGA
rnacentral:rRNA from 1 species